AGCGUAUACGGUGGAUGCCUAGGCAGUUAGAGGCGAUGAAGGACGUGUAAGUCUGCGAUAAGCAUUGGGAAGCUGACAAAACGCGUUAUACCCAAUGAUUUCCGAAUGGGGAAACCCAGGUCUUAGGACCUAUCAUAUAGUGAAUACAUAGCUAUAUGAAGCAAACGAGGGGAACUGAAACAUCUAAGUACCCUUAGGAAGAGAAAUCAAACGAGAUUCCCCUAGUAGCGGCGAGCGAACGGGGAACAGCCGAAUCAGCAUGGUGUAGUGGAAUGAGUUGGGAAGCUCAGCGAUACAGGGUGAUAGCCCCGUACACGAAGCGCCAUGUUGGUCAUAUUAAGUAGGUCGGGACACGUGUUAUCUUGACUGAAGAUGGGGGGACCAUCCUCCAAGGCUAAAUACUCCUAACUGACCGAUAGUGAACUAGUACCGUGAGGGAAAGGCGAAAAGAACCCCUGUGAGGGGAGUGAAAUAGAACCUGAAACCGUAUACGUACAAGCAGUAGGAGCCUGGAUUCUCUUCGGAGAUAGUAGGGUGACUGCGUACCUUUUGUAUAAUGGGUCAGCGACUUAUAUUUAGUAGCAAGGUUAACCGAAUAGGGGAGCCGUAGCGAAAGCGAGUGUUAACUGCGCGUUGAGUUGCUAGGUAUAGACCCGAAACCGAGUGAUCUAGCCAUGGGCAGGUUGAAGGUUGAGUAACAUCAACUGGAGGACCGAACCGACUAACGUUGAAAAGUUAGCGGAUGACUUGUGGCUGGGGGUGAAAGGCCAAUCAAACCGGGAGAUAGCUGGUUCUCCCCGAAAUCUAUUUAGGUAGAGCCUCGGACGAACACCAUUGGGGGUAGAGCACUGUUAAGGCUAGGGGGUCAUCCCGACUUACCAACCCUUUGCAAACUCCGAAUACCGAUGAGUGCUAUCCGGGAGACACACGGCGGGUGCUAACGUCCGUCGUGAAGAGGGAAACAACCCAGACCGCCAGCUAAGGUCCCAAAAUAUUGCUAAGUGGGAAACGAUGUGGGAAGGCUAAGACAGCUAGGAGGUUGGCUUAGAAGCAGCCAUCCUUUAAAGAAAGCGUAAUAGCUCACUAGUCGAGUCGGCCUGCGCGGAAGAUGUAACGGGGCUAAGCAAUAUACCGAAGCUGCGGAUUUGAACUUAGGUUCAAGUGGUAGGGGAGCGUUGUGUAAGUGGAUGAAGGUGUAUUGAGAAGUAUGCUGGACAUAUCACAAGUGCGAAUGCUGACAUGAGUAACGAUAAGGGGAGUGAAAAACUCCCCCGCCGGAAGACCAAGGUUUCCUGUCCCAUGCUAAUCAGGGCAGGGUAAGUCGGCCCCUAAGGCGAGGCAGAAAUGCGUAGUCGAUGGGAAACAGAUUAAUAUUUCUGUACUUAUAUAGUGAGUGAAGGAGAGACGGAGAAGGCUAGGCAAGCAUGGCGUUGGUAGUCCAUGUGAAAGUGCGUAGGCAGGGGGAUUAGGCAAAUCCGGUCCCCCCUUUAAGAGAGAAUGCUAAGACACGAGACGAGACACUAAGGUGUUGAAGUUGUUGAUGCCCUGCUUCCAGGAAAAUCUUCUAAGCGUAUUGCUAUAUGAACCGUACCCCAAACCGACACAGGUGGUCAGGUAGAGAAUACUAAGGCGCUUGAGAGAACUCGGGUGAAGGAACUCGGCAAAAUAGUACCGUAACUUCGGGAGAAGGUACGCCUUUGUUUGUGAUUGCACUUGCUGCAUGAGCGAAUGAAGGCCGCAGUGACCAGGAGGCUGGGACUGUUUAUUAAAAACACAGCACUGUGCUAAAUCGAAAGAUGACGUAUACGGUGUGACACCUGCCCGGUGCCGGAAGGUUAAUUGAUGGGGUUAGCGUAAGCGAAGCUCUUGAUCGAAGCCCCGGUAAACGGCGGCCGUAACUAUAACGGUCCUAAGGUAGCGAAAUUCCUUGUCGGGUAAGUUCCGACCUGCACGAAUGGUGUAACCAUGGCCUCGCUGUCUCCACCCGAGACUCAGUGAAAUUGAAAUUGCAGUGAAGAUGCUGUGUACCCGCACCUAGACGGAAAGACCCCGUGAACCUUUACUACAGCUUGGCACUGAACAUUGACCCUACAUGUGUAGGAUAGGUGGGAGACUAUGAAGCAUUGUCGCUAGAUGAUGUGGAGUCAACCUUGAAAUACCACCCUUGUAUGUUUGAUGUUCUAACGUUGACCCCUAAUCGGGGUUGCGGACAGUGUCUGGUGGGUAGUUUGACUGGGGCGGUCUCCUCCCAAAGAGUAACGGAGGAGCACGAAGGUUGGCUAAUCCUGGUCGGACAUCAGGAGGUUAGUGCAAUGGCAUAAGC
rnacentral:rRNA from 1 species